GCCCAACAGGUCUGUGAUGCCCUUAGAUGUCCUGGGCCGCACGCGCGCCACAAUGCUGGCGUCAGCGGUCUGGCACUUGACCCUCUCCGAGAGGAGCGGGGAACACCCCAAACGUCGUCGUGGUUGGGACCGGGGCUUGCAACGAUUCCCGUGAACCGGGAAUGCCCCGUAGGGGCCGAUCACCAGUCGGCCCCGAACGAGUCCCUGCCCUUUGUACACACUACCCGUCGCUACUGCCGAUGGCCAGGUGGGUGAGGGUACUGGACCGCAAGCCAGACGCCAAUGGUCAGACGAGAUGCAGCAUGGGAAGGUGUCCAAAUCUGCCAGGCUAGAGGAAGUAAAAUUCGUAACAAGGUUUCC
rnacentral:rRNA from 1 species